rnacentral:rRNA from 1 species
AUCCACCGUAAGACUAAGGUUUCCAGGGGAAGGCUCGUCCGCCCUGGGUUAGUCGGGACCUAAGGCGAGGCCGAAAGGCGUAGUCGAUGGACAACUGGUUGAUAUUCCAGUACUAGAUAUGAUCGUGAUGGAGGGACGCAGUAGGCUAAGAGAUGCCAGUUAAUGGAUUCUGGUCUAAGCAGUGAGGUGUGAGAUGUGUCAAAUGCAUUUCUCUUUAACAUUGAGCUGUGAUGGGGAAGCAACUACGGUUGCGAACUCUCUGAUGUCACACUGCCAA